AGAACAGAGGCUGAGGGAACCCGGGAAUGUGAGGUCUCAGAGGCAGCAACCCCACGCAUGUGGCAGCCCCAAGCAGUGAGCGGACUGGGUGCAGGAGGAGGCCCCAACAACGCCCAGAAUUCAUGUGGCUUCCUGCAUGAGUUAGCUGCUGCCGUGUAACAAGUGACCCCACAUGCAGUGGCUGGAACAUGCACGUUUACCACGUCUGCUUCCAGGGCUCAGAAACUCAGAGCUGUGGACGUAGCAGGAAGCACAAUUGCGAAGUGGACAGGGUGGUGGUUUCUCAGAGCUCAACUGCAGGGCAUGUGUGUGCAUAGGUGUGUGCCCAGGUGUGUGUCCAGGUGUGUGUGCAGGUGUGUGCUCAGGUGUGUGUCCAGGCGUGUGCAGGUGUGUGUGCAUAGUUGGGUGCCCAGGCGUGUGUGCAGGCGUGUGUGCAGGUGUGUGUGCAUAAGUGGGUGCCCAGGUGUGUGUGCAAAGGUGUGUACCCCGGUGUGUGCUCAGGUGUGAGUGCAGGUGUGUGGUGUGCACAGGUGUGUGCAUGGGGGUGUGGGUGGGGUGUGCUCAGGUGUGUGUGCAGGUGUGUGCACAGGUGAGUGCAGAUGUGUGCUCAGGUGUGCGCAGGUGUGUUUUCAGGUGUGUGUGCAGGUGUGUGCUCAGGUGUGUGGCGUGUGCACAGGUGUGUGCGCAGGUGUGUGCACAGGUGUGUGCGCUGUGUGUGCAGGAGUGUGCGCAGGUGUGUGCGCAGGUGUGUGCAGGUGUGUGCUCAGGUGUGUGGCGUGUGCACAGGUGUGUGUGCAGGUGUGUGCACAGGUGUGUGCGCUGUGUGUGCAGGAGUGUGCGCAGGUGUGUGUGGCGUGUGCACAGGUGUGUGCGCAGGAGUGUGCACAGGUGUGUGCUCAGGUGUGUGUGGCAUGUGCGCAGGUGUGUGCAGGAGUGUGUGCAGGUGUGUGCUCAGGUGUGUGUGCAGGUGUGUGCCCAGGUGUGUGCUCGUGUAUGUAAAGUGUGCGCAGGAGUGUGUGCAGGUGUGUGCUCAGGUGUGUGCUCAAGUGUUUGCAGAUACGUGCUGAGGUGUGUGCGCAGGUGUGUGCUCAGGUGUGUGCAGAUGUGUGCUCAGGUGUAUGUGCAGGUGUGUGUGGUGUGCACAGGUGUGUGCAUGGGGGUGUGGGUGGGGUGUGCUCAGGUGUGCGCAGGUGUGUUUUCAGGUGUGUGUGCAGGUGUGUGCUCAGGUUUGUGCACGGGUGUGUGGCGUGUGCACAGGUGUGUGUGCAGGUGUGUGCGCUGUGUGUGCAGGAGUGUGCACAGGUGUGUGUGGCGUGUGCACAGGUGUGUGCGCAGGUGUGUGUGCAGGUGUGUGCUCAAGUGCGUGCUGCAUGAGCUUCCGUACUUGCUCCUGGGCUUCUCACCGGCCAGGGCUGGUGUCCAGGGCGAGCCAUCCCAGGCAGAGCACACAGGACGCAGCGUUUACAGCCCCAUCUGGAGAGCACCACCUUCACUUCUGCCUUUGUCCACAAGGGAGGGGCUUGCAUGGGGGAAGAGUAAGCGCUGCCUGCCCGGGGCCCUGGAUGUAGAGCGGCCUGCAGCCAGGACUCCCGUCCGGUGUGUUUGGUGUUGCUGUUUUCCUGGAAGCCUCUGCGUCCC
rnacentral:lncRNA from 1 species